UACGGAGGGUGCGAGCGUUAUCCGGAAUUACUGGGUUUAAAGGGUGCGUAGGCGGCUUGUUAAGUCAGGAGUGAAAGUUUGCGGCUCAACCGUAAAAUUGCUUUUGAUACUGGCAGGCUAGAAUCAGGAUGAGGUCAGCGGAAUGUGGCAUGUAGCGGUGAAAUGCAUAGAUAUGCCAUAGAACACCAAUUGUGAAGGCAGCUGGCUAGACCUGGAUUGACGCUGAGGCACGAAAGCGUGGGGAGCGAACAGG
rnacentral:rRNA from 1 species